rnacentral:rRNA from 1 species
UGCCCAGACUCCUACGGGAGGCAGCAGUGAGGAAUAUUGGUCAAUGGGCGGGAGCCUGAACCAGCCAAGCCGCGUGAGGGAAGAAGGUACAGCGUAUCGUAAACCUCUUUUGUCAGGGAACAAAGGCGGGGACUAGUCCCCGGAUGAGGGUACCUGAAGAAAAAGCAUCGGCUAACUCCGUGCCAGCAGCCGCGGUAAUACGGAGGAUGCGAGCGUUAUCCGGAUUUAUUGGGUUUAAAGGGAGCGUAGGCCGGUCUUUAAGCGUGCCGUGAAAUUUUGUGGCUCAACCAUGAGAGUGCGGCGCGAACUGGAGACCUUGAGUGCGCGGAAGGCAGGCGGAAUUCGUGGUGUAGCGGUGAAAUGCUUAGAUAUCACGAAGAACCCCGAUUGCGAAGGCAGCCUGCCGCAGCGUUACUGACGCUGAAGCUCGAAAGCGCGGGUAUCGAACAGGAUUAGAUACCCCUGUA